GUAGGGAAUAUUGGACAAUGGGGGGAACCCUGAUCCAGCCAUGCCGCGUGGAGGAAGACUGCCCUCUGGGUUGUAAACUCCUUUUAUAUGGGAAGAACCGUCCUCAUUAAUGAGUGACCUGACGGUACCAUAGGAAUAAGCACCGGCUAACUCCGUGCCAGCAGCCGCGGUAAUACGGAGGGUGCAAGCGUUAUCCGGAUUCACUGGGUUUAAAGGGUGCGUAGGCGGAUAAAUAAGUCAGUGGUGAAAUCAACGGGCUCAACCUGUUAACUGCCAUUGAUACUGUGUAUCUUGAAUAUGAGAGAGGUAGGCGGAAUGUUGCAUGUAGCGGUGAAAUGCUUAGAUAUGCUACGGAACACCGAUUGCGAAGGCAGCUUACUAUUUCGUAAUUGACGCUGAGGCACGAAAGCGUGGGUAGCGAACAGGAUUAGAAACCCCUGUAGUCC
rnacentral:rRNA from 1 species